UGCAUCAAUUCGUGGCAGCAGAAAAUGUGGGUACAAGUUCUCAUAAUGACGGUACAAACUGGCAAGCUCUUGGAUAUCAAGUAGAUCAGCAGAGAAUGAUGCAUCAGUCCGUAGCAGCAGAAAAUAUGGCUACAAG